UUCUGAGAACAGAUGUGAUCAUCCUCACCUCCUGUCCUGCUCCUCAGUGAGAUCUUGCAGGAACAUCCAGAAGUUGAAUCCUUUCUAUACAAGAGAAUAAGAUAAUCCUGUGAGCAUAGAAAAACUGUUCCAGUUCUCUAGACAGGGAAGGCACCAUGGAGAGGCAGGCCUGGACAGGCCCUGGCAGCCCCACAUGCUUUCCUGACGCUGGGUCAAGAUGUGAAGACCAGUGUUGGUGGGGAGCUCAGUGGUAGAGCAUGCUCGCCUAACAUGCCUGAGGCCCUGGGUUCAAGUCUCAGCCCUGAAAAUACAUCAAAGAAAAACGAAGAUAAAUUUAUAGGCUCCCAGCAUGGUUCUCUGCAUGGAAAAGCUAAGGUCAGCAUAAAGAACAUGAUUUAUCAGGAGCGAGUCUUCCAAACCUCUGCUUCAUUCCCUGGGACUAUUUUGACUUGGAUGAAGGCAGUUGUGUCAUUAGCAGAUGGUUGUGUCAUUUCGAGCCAUCAGAAAAGAAUUCUGCAUUAUGAAAAGAAAACCUGAAAGUGAUCACCCAUUUUUUAACUGACCUUUUCAAAUUGUGAGAGUGUUUUGACUGAACAAUUAAAACAAAUUCUGUAGAUCUCAUUACUA
rnacentral:sRNA from 1 species